AUUGAACGCUGGCGGCAUGCCUUACACAUGCAAGUCGAACGGCAGCGCGGGUGCUUGCACCUGGUGGCGAGUGGCGAACGGGUGAGUAAUACAUCGGAACGUACCUUAUCGUGGGGGAUAACGCAGCGAAAGCUGUGCUAAUACCGCAUACGCCCUGAGGGGGAAAGCGGGGGAUCGCAAGACCUCGCGCGAUUAGAGCGGCCGAUGCCUGAUUAGCUAGUUGGUGGGGUAAAAGCCCACCAAGGCGACGAUCGGUAGCUGGUCUGAGAGGCAGAGCAGCCACACUGGGACGGAGAGAGGGGCAGGAAUCCUACGGGGGGGAGGAGUGGGGAAUUUUGGACAAUGGGGGCAACCCUGAUCCAGCAAUGCCGCGUGAGUGAAGAAGGCCUUCGGGUUGUAAAGCUCUUUUGUCAGGGAAGAAACACCGGCUCUAACACAGUCCGGGAAUGACGGUACCUGAAGAAUAAGCACCGGCUAACUACGUGCCAGCAGCCGCCGUAA
rnacentral:rRNA from 1 species